rnacentral:rRNA from 1 species
UACGUAGGGUGCGAGCGUUGUCCGGAAUUAUUGGGCGUAAAGAGCUCGUAGGCGGUGUGUCGCGUCGGCCGUGAAAACCUGCAGCUUAACUGUGGGCGUGCGGUCGAUACGGGCAUCACUGGAGUUCGGCAGGGGAGACUGGAAUUCCUGGUGUAGCGGUGAAAUGCGCAGAUAUCAGGAGGAACACCGGUGGCGAAGGCGGGUCUCUGGACAGUUCCUGACGCUGAGGCACGAAGGUCAGGGGAGCAAACGGG